CCGGGAUGUUUUUCUUUAAAUACAGCCCGAGCGUUUCACGAUGAGGCCGAAGCGCAAAUCUGCACCUGUGUUUGUCCGCCACUUUCCUGCUUCAGCAUUCUUCAGCCGAUUCAUGACCACUAAGUCAACUCCUUGGAUGUGAAGGACAAAUAACCUGAGAACAGGAGGCCAGAGGAGUGGAGGAGUUCAUUAUGUAAUAUCCACGGGAGGAGAGGCUCCAAAGAAAGAAGUCCUGCGGGGGAGAUGGGCUCUGACCUGCAGGUGCAGCCGCUGUGGGAGGACCGUCUGUUUUUGGCUGCCUGACCCUGCAUACGACUUUAGCACGAAACCAGCAGAAAACUAUUUCUGUGGUGACGGGCUGAUGGAUCCGGCCGCAGCCAGCCUCUUGUGGGACGUGUCGGCGGCGCCUGUCAGCCUCGGCCUGGCUGCACCCCGAGAGGUGCCCUGAAAACAUCUCCCGGCAAACCAACACCGAAUGUGUGUGUGUCCGACACAUCCUGGUAUCAGCCCGAUACAGCGGGAUGGAGCAGGCUCCGGUGUGUUUGUGUAAAAGAGCAAGAUGACUUGAUAGGCUCAUGUAACUGUCCUACAUCCAAGGAGACUCCAAACAUAGCUCAACUUCAGCAGGCUGCAAAUUAUCCAGCGAU